rnacentral:lncRNA from 1 species
GAACUCACUGAGUUACAAUAACACCAAUGGGAGGAACAUACUCACUUCUUGCCCAGAAACAGACUGAUUGUUUAUACUAGAAAUACAAGGAGGUGACUCCGCCUAUUCGGAAGGUAUAAAUGCUUGUGUGAAUUGUAUGUGUGCUAAGCAGCUGUAGCAUCCAGUUUGGGAUUCAGCACGAUCUGCAGUCAAACUAAAGAGUCCGAAUCAGUGUAACAGGAGCCGGCACAAAACAAGGUAGGCAAUGUUCCUACACCUGUUACCACUCAUUCUGACAUCUUGGGGAGACAAGCCUGGAUUUAUUCCGUAGUCCCAUGUACCGGCCAGUAGGAGUGUAGGAGUCCUAGGUGACAUUGUCAUUUGUGAGGUUUGUCCUAGAUGACUAUGGCAAAUUAUGUCUAAAAGGGUUUAGCCCCCUUAUAGGUUAGACUAGGCACUAGUGUGUGCCUAGGAAGGUUUAGCAACAUAGGUUAGACUAAGCACUGUGGGCACUAUAUGCUUAGGAGGGUUUAGCCCCCUAAUAGGUUAGACUAGGAGUUGGAGUCCCCUAGGAGGAUCGAGGGGAGUGGCCGUCCCUUAGACAUGUCUGUUUAAUUGUCUAUAUUGUCUGUGUGGUAUAUGGAGAAAUUCACACAUAUGUAUAAUAGUACAAUUUGUUGUAGAAAAGUAGUCCAUGUUGAAAGUCUCUGUCGUGUGGUAAUACCUGAUGUAUUAAUAGCCGGAAUGGGGUGUAGGUGUUUUCUGGCAGUAGUGUCGGUCAAUGAUGAGACAUUGUCAGUAAGUGGUAAUGUGUACAGUGAUCGAAAGUUGCAUGUAAGUUCUGGAGAAGAUCCACAUCCACGGUUGGAAAAGAACAGCAGUCUUAAGAAGUUAUUUGAAAGUGAACAGUGUGUAUUGGCUGUGGCGAUCAAUACGGAGGUUGGUUUGUGCCCUGUUGGGGCGGGUAAUAGAGAACAAUUGUGUAGCAAUAAAAUAAUGUUGGUUGUCAAUACUGGUAACGUGUGUUGUCGGCAACAGUGGUACUUGAGGCGUGACAGUGGUAAUAAGACAUUAGGUCUUCCGUAUUCUCCAUCUCAAGCAUUUGGAUUUGUGGGGACCGCUUGGGCUCAGUGCCUUCCUUGGCUAUCUACCUGACGUUCUUCAGGGGCAGCCCCACUUUAUAUCAGAGAAUGAAGCUCUACAUCGAGGACAUGUGAAAUCACGGCCAUCUCACUCUUUGCGCUGGGCAUGUGCUGCAUUUGACGAGUUGCAGCUGCAUCAGCAAAAGCUAAUGGAAUGGUCCUGUGGUCCUAUGAGUUUGGCCGUGCUGUAUUGGCUGUGGACUACAUGGCGUUUACCCUCCGUCUCACCUACAUCUUCGCCACAAUUAGUAUCCAAAGAAAAGUGUCAAAACUGCACACACAAAAAAAAGUGUUGUAAUUUUACCCGAUUUAAUAUUAUUUUCCCCUCCUGAUUGGCAGACGAAAGACAUGUUAUUUUUCCUCUUCUUCCUGGCGGUGUGGCUCAUGGCCUACGGCGUAGCCAAUUAGGAGCUGCUUUCCUCCUACGACCUUGGUCCUGGUUGGAUAUUUCGCAGUGUUCUACAGGCCAUACCUCCACAUAUUUGGAUAGAUCCCUAUACACAAAAUGUUUGGUGAAUGGACCAACCAGACCCUCAAGACUGCCAUGGGCAAGUCCCUUGAUUGCUACCAGAAAGGGUGGGAGAAAAACCUGAAGGUAAUUCUCUUUGCUCACAACAGCAGCAUCCAGGCCUCCACCGAAUACGGACGGGAACUGCAGCUGUUGACUGAGGUAACAAUGCAAUUGUAUAUACAAUUAUUGCAUAAACUCUAGUCUUUCUAAUUUCUGAUUGACUUUGUGUUGUUGUUUGUCUGUUAUUAUUUUUGUAUAACGUACUUUCACGUCACUGAAACCCCACCUGAUGUGGUGGAAGUUGUUGAACCAGAUCAGAACGCCUUCAAGGACCACCUUCAGGCACGGACUGAGAAGGAUGUGGAGGUUUUUGAUCAGGUUAGACUGAACAUGGACAGGGCGAAGGAGAAACAGAAGGAGAGCUACUGGAGCAGAAUCAAGAAGGGGACCAAGUGCUUCGACAUAUGGGCAAAUUACUUGGUUUGGAAGAAGGACAAAAAGAAGGCGAGACCUGGGAAACCUCGCAGCUCUUUCGCUCCUAGAUGGGGUCACUAUCUGAUAAAGACCAUCGACUGUCCGAGAUUCUCAGGAGGUUUGGCAUCCACCAGAACCAGUGAGUUUGAAUCAGUCUGAUUCUCUGUGCUCUGAGUCGGAGGUGGACCAGCUUGAGGACCUAUGGGUUCUGCCCAACACCCAGACGUGGAUCCACCUGAUGUCCUCCAUUACCAACCACCCUCCAACUUUUCAUUACAUCAUCUACAGUUACUGUUGUUGUCAUUAUCUGCAAAGAAAGUUUUCUUGCUCUAUCACAUAAUAUGUGAGAUACACAGAUGAACUAAAAACACUAGCACUACAAACACUCAGAACAAAUAGAGAAGCAGUGCCUGCUUUUUGCAGACUCCCUCUUCAAGUCCCCCUUCCAAGACUGGCUGCCUGUUGAGAACAAGUGACAGGCAGAACCUCCCAUUCACACAGCAAGCACCUCCUCUUUAUUCCACACACAAGAAUUCAAUAUUAUAGUCUAUGAUUGCCAUGUGAGUGUACAAAAACAAUUAAUGACACAACUGUACUAAAAACUAUCAAAGUUUAUGUAUUUAAAUAUUGCCAGGUUGGUUUUCACAGGUGUGUCACAAGGUGCUCAUUAUUGUAAGUUGUAAGGUAUCAUUUGAUGGUAUUUAUUUGUUCCACAUUAUUCAUUGUUGUAUUUUAGGACCUACAAUAGAUACACUAACUCAGAAAAAAAAGAAACGUCCUCUCACUGUCAACUUCAUUUUGAAUGGCCCUAGCCCUCACCCUCCGAUCCGACAGGUCCCAGAUGUACUCAAUGGGAUUGAGAUCCGGGCUCUUCGCUGGCCAUGGCAGAACACUGACAUUCCUGUCUUGCAAGAAAUCACGCACAGAACGAGCAGUAUGGCUGGUGGCAUUGUCAUGCUGGAGGGUCAUGUCAGGAUAAGCCUGCAGGAAGGGUACCACAAUGAGGGAGGAGGAUGUCUUCCCUGUAACGCACAGCAUUGAGAUUGCCUGCAAUGACCACAACCUCAGUCCGAUGAUGCUGUGACACACCGCCCCAGACCAUGACGAACCCUCCACCUCCAAAUCGAUCCCGCUCCAGAGUACAGGCCUCGGUGUAACGCUCAUUCCUUCGACGAUAAACACAAAUCCGACGAUCACACCUGAUGAGACAAAACCGUGAUGAGUGAUGAGUGCUUUUUGCCAGUCCUGUCUGGUCCAGCAACGGUGGGUUUGUGCCCAUAGGCAACGUUGUUGCCGGUGAUUUCUGGUGAGGACCUGCCUUACAACAGGCCUACAAGCCUUCAGUCCAGCCUCUCUCAGCCUAUUGCGGACAGUCUGAGCACUGAUGGAGGGAUUGUGUGCUCCUGGUGUAACUCAGGCAGUUGUUGUUGGCAUCCUGUACUUGUCCCAUAGAUGUGAUGUUUGGAUGUACCGAUCCUGUACAGGUGUUGUUACACGUGAUCUGCCACUGCGAGGACGAUCAGCUGUCUGUCCUGUCUCCCUGUAGCUCUGUCUUAGGCGUCUCACAGUACGGACAUUGCAAUUUAUUGCCCUGGCCACAUCUGCAGCAUGCCUAAGGCACGUUCACGCAGGUGAGCAGGGACCCUGGGCAUCUUUAUUUUGGUAUUUUUCAGAGUCAGUAGAAAGGACUCUUUAGUGUCCUAAGUUUUCAUAACUGUGACCUUAAUUGCCUACCGUCUGUAAGCUGUUACUGCCUUAGCGACCGUUCCACAGGUGCGUGUUCAUUAAUUGUUUAUGGUUUAUUGAAGAAGCAUGGAAACAGUGUUUAAACCCUUUACAAUGACGAUCUGUGAAGUUAUUUAGAUUUUUACCAAUUAUCUUUGAAAGACAGGGUCAUGAAAAAGGGACGUUUAUUUUGUUGCUGAGUUUAUAUGCGGGAAUUUUGCAAAUACGGGCCUUUUUGUGCUCAGGGUUAGAUUUUUAAGGUAAAAUGUCAAUUACAUAUUUUUUAUUUCGCCGCGAUUAAGUAGAAACUAAAAUAGCCUUUUUUUCAGCUUUAAAAAUGUUUUUUUAUUUUUUAUUUUCUUAAGCAUUUCAUGUAUGGAUUUCACUGUUUUGCACUGUUUUUGUCCUGUCUCUACAGAUUUUGACAUUCUUCAAUGUAUUACACUUUCAAAAUCUUGAUAAUUACAAAAUAUUUAAUGCACCUGUUUCCAUUAAAUAAAUGGAAACAAUAUACAUAUUAGAUGUGCAUAAGCCAUUUGUUACUUUUUUUUUUACACAAAAUGCAGUUGUCUCUAAGUAUUGUGCCAUUAACCCCACGACAAGCAAAUGACAUGAUAAUAACCUUUUUGCAAAAGUUUGGGAACUUGGUUACCAUGUAUAUGAAUAGUGACAGGGGAGCACGUGGAUGUCAUGGAGGGGAAUUCCAAUUAUGAUGCCAGGAAAUUAUUGAAAAAUAAAGGUAAAUAUGACUUGAGAGGAUAAUGUUUUUAUUGUACGUCAUUACCAAAUAGGCUAUAAUUUCAUCAAAUUAUGUUUGAUUUUUAAAAAUUAUGUUUCAAUUAUGUGUAUUUAGAAUACAUUGUAUGCUAGUUGUUUAACUGGAGUAGGCAUGCUAGAAUCCCUGCUAUUUAUGACCAAAUACUGUAAAAAUGUAAUUCCCACCACAUGUCAUUACCACCACAUAAUGAACUGUGAUGGUAAGGACAGAAUGUGGUGGUAAUGACAAAAUGUAUUAGUUCAUACAUUUUUACUUACCUUAAGACCUGAAAAGACAAACAAAUUACAUAUAUGAUCAUGGUUAAGUUGAAAUUGAAUAGUUAUUUGUUAAGAAGGAUGAGUGAUUUUUUAUGUCUAUUUAUUUGACUUACUAUGGUUAUUAAUGACUUUAAUUAUUUUUUAAUGUUUCUAUAAGAUGCCCCCUAAAUCAACCAAGGAGAGGACAAGGACUAACACUAUAUUUACAAAAGUAUGUGGACACCCCUUCAAAUUAGUGGAUUUGGCUAUUUCAGCCAAACCCAUUGCUGAAAGGUGUAUAAAAUUGAGCACGCAGCCAUGCAAUCUCUAUAGACAAACAUUGACAGUAGAAUGGUCCACAUUGAAGAGCUCAGUGACUUUCAACGUGGCACCGUCAUAGGAUGCCACUUUUCCAACAAGUCAGUUCGUCAAAUUUCUGCCCUGCUGGAACUGCCAAGGUCAACUGUAAGUGCUGUUAUUGUGAAGUGGUAAAAUCUAGGAGCAACAACGGCUCAUCAGCGAAGUGGUAGGCCACACAAGCUCACAGAACGGAACCGCCAAGUGCUGAAGCACGUAGCGCGUAAAAAUCAUCUGUCCUACGUUGUAACACUCACUACCGAGUUCCAAACUGCCUCUGGAAGCAACGUGAGCAAAAUAACUGUUUGUCGGGAGCCUCAGGAAAUGGGUUUCCAUGGCCGAGCAGCCGCACACAAGCAUAAGAUCACAAUGCACAAUACCAAGCUGGAGUGGUGUCAAUGCUAGCCGCCAUUGGACUCUGGAGCAGUGGAAACGCAUUCUCUGGAGUGAUGAAUCACGCUUCAUCAUCUGGCAAUCCGACAGACGAAUCUGGGUUUGGAGGAUGCCAGGAGAAUGCUACCUGCCCCAAUGCAGAGUGCAAACUGUCAAGUUUGGUGGAAGAGGAAUAAUGAUCUGGGGCUGUUUUUCAUGGUUUGGGCUAGGCCCCUUAGUUCCAGUGAAGGGAAAUCUUAACGCUACAGCAUACAAUGACAUUCUAGAUGAUUCUGUGCUUCCAACUUUGUGACAACAAUUUUGGGGAAGGCCCUUUCCUGUUUCAGCAUGACAAUGCCCCCAUGCACAAAGCAAGGUCCAUACAGAAAUGGUUUGUUGAGAUCGGUGUGGAAGAACUUGACUGGACUGCACAGGGCCCUGAUCUCAAGCCCAUCGAACACCUUUGGGAUGAAUUGGAACCAAUAGUCUGUUCCAUAUCUUCAAUAACAUUUAACAUGUACAACUGUGACAUUAAAAUGUUUAAUGGUAUUGUCACAGUCGUCUUCGUCUUCAGAAGAAAUAGAAAAGUCCUCAUCAGAAAAAGUAGACCAAUACGCAGCCGAGGUCGUGUUCAUCUUUGAGUUUAAUUAAUCGAUCACUUGAACACUAUACAAAAACAAUACUCACAACGGUAACAGUUUUGCAGGCUAUACAAAACGCAGUGCAAAAUCAAUCUCCCACAAAAGACAAACACACCCUCAUAUAUGGGACUCUCAAUCAAAGGCAAAUAGACAACACCUGCCUUCAAUUGAGAGUCCCAACCCCAAUGAACCCAAACAUAGAAACAGACACACUAGACUAAACAUAGAAUACAUGAAAAUCAAACAGUGCCCAAAAACCCCGGAAUACCUAAAUCAACUGCCCUACAACAAACACACCACCCCUAACCACAUAAAACAAAUACCCUCUGCCACGUCCUGACCAAACUACAAUACCAAUUAACCCUUAUACUGGCCAGAACGUGACAGGUAUUUGUCAUCAGUCGUUUUAUAUGAAAUGUAAUUUCCACCACACUCUGUCAUUACCACAACACUAAGUCAUUACCAUCACGGUACAUAUUUUUGAGGCAAAGGUGCAUUUUUCCCAUAUGUGAACCUUAUAUGCUUGUUCUUAAGAUAAUUUCUAAUGGAAUGUAAAAUAUUAAGAUUUUGAUGUUGUAAAUACAUUUUUCUGAGUAUCAUCAAGACAUAUAUGGACAUUUAGACAUGACAAUGAUGAAUGCAUAUAAUUAAGAACAUGUCCAAAUAGUAAAUAAAUAACAUUUAAAAAUACAAUGAAUGUGAAAUGUUAUACAAAAUACCAUUUGCACAUGUUCAUAAUCAUUAGUGUUCCGCGUUGCCACUGUCUAAUAACAGAUGUAAAAAAAAAAGAACGAUAGCAAAAAUGAGUUAUGCAAAAAUUAUUUCAUACUCCACAUUUAGGGGGCCACAAGGGGGUCCAAAAUUGUUGUCACAGGGGCCCCCCUGACCCCCCCAGCCCCCCAGAAUCGCCCCUGGUGUAGAUAAGGGAAGGGCAGGUUAAAUUAAAAACAUGACAGCCAGACAGCCAGUGUAUGAAUCAAACGGAUUCGCAAAUUAAUGGAGUGGAAAUUAACUUUGUGAUCUGUAAAGUAAGUAACUUUAAUGUGUCAAACAGAUUACACGUUUACUUUGCCAUUUCUGAAGCGUAGCAACGUUUAAGACAUGGAUAUCAUGUUGUAAUGCUAACAAGGUACCCAAAAGUAGUUGUUUUUAUUUUAUUAGGUAAACAAAACUUGUUUCAACCGUGACAUUGUCGUGGAAAUCAGCCUUGUUUGCAUAGCGAUGAUGAAAAGAACGUCAUUUAGGCUGUAAUGAUCUCCAAAAUUCAAAUCAUUAGGUCACCACACCGUUGAUAUGGCAAUGCACGCUAAUAGUUUAUUAAAUCCCAUUCUGACGCAGAGGGAGACACUAUUUCCCUUGGUUUCUUCCUUGCAUUUAGACUGCUCCUGUUGUAUCUGCCUGCUCAGCAUUGUAGAGAGCCCAUUCGUCAUGGUCACCCCUCUCACCCCCCCUCCCUCGCCC